CUGCCAUACUCUUCUUAGUCUACGUUUUUCUGCUAUUUUUUUUAGUAUGUAUUGGGGAUAUUCUUGUUUGCUGUUAGAUGGCUUUGUCGGUGUGGAGAGGCGGAUUGCGUUUAUUAUGCUCGUGUUUAAGUAUUCCGUGGCUGCUUCGAUAUCUUCCUUUGUUUUUAGUGAGGUGAAGGCUGAGGUUGAGUGUGUAAAGACUUCUCGGAAGAGCUGCCAGUUGGUGUGUUGGUUGUGAAUGGAGCCAUUAGGUGUAUUCUCGAUGAUUGUUGAACUGACUGUUGCUAUCACGGGAGAAUGAUCAGAGGAGAGAUCAGCCGAGGAGUUGAUCUGGACGUGUCUUGAUGAGAUAUUUUUAGUUACGAAGAAGUCGAGAAGGUCGGGUAUUUUGUUGGUGUCAGUGGGCCAGUAUGUGGGUUCGUAUGUGGUGAGGUAGUUGAGGUUGUUGUUUAUUAUGCUGUUUAAGAGGUUUUUGCCUCUUGCUGUAACCAGUCUGCUGCCCCAUUGGAUGUGCUUGGCGUUAUAGUCUCCUCCAACUAUGAAUCUAUUGCCCAGGGUGUCCAGGAAGUUAUCAAAGUCUUCUUUGGCGAUGGAGUGUCUGAGAGGGCAGUAUACUGCUGAGGUGGUGAUUGAGCCAUGACAGUCUUCUAUUGCUACGUUUGUUGCUUGGAGGUAGUCUUUCUGGAAUGAUGGAAGUUCGUAGUGCUUAAUACUUGCUUUGAUUAUUAUUCCGGUGCCACCGUGGGCCUUUCCGUUGGGGUGUUGGGUAUGGUAGAAUUUGUAACCAUUUAUUUUCAGGUAGCUCUUGUCGUGGGUUUCCGAUACGAGCAUUACGUCGAUUUGCUGGUGUUUUAGGAAGAGUUCUAGUUCAAGUUUGUGUUGCGCUAGACCGUUGGCGUUCCAAAGAGCUAUGCGCCUUGGUUUUAUUUUGCGUCGGGUCGUAUUAAUUUAUCCACGAUGAGUGUUAGUAGCGAUAGCAAAUUAUUUAUUUGCUCUGAUUGUUUCUCUAUUAGCUUUUCAAGCCUAGAGAAGUUGUCUGUGUUAGGUGGGUUGGGGACACUAUUUUGGGAAAGAUCCCUUUGGCUAUUCGGGUUAUUUUGGAUGCCUUGUACUGCUUGGGCAUAGGAGGUUGAGGUGGUGAUGAAUUUGGUAGGACAGGGUGUUUGGUUGGUUGAGGGGAUUGGGGUAAUCGUGAAUUUCGGCGGGCUCGUUGUUUGGUUGGAUACCUCUUUUGCUCUGAGUUUAGGGUACCUAUUUGUGUAUAGAGUUUUAUAGGCUGAGCAGCCUUUAUAGUUGGCAGGAUGGUUACCUUGACAGUGGAUGCAUUUCGCUGGGGUUUCCGGUGAUUUAGCGCACUGGUCAGUGGAGUGAGUGCCUGCACAUUUAACGCAGCGGAAAGUAUGGUUGCAGUAUUUCUGCGUGUGACCGUACCUUUGGCACCUUUUGCAUUGCACUAUUUCUUUUUCACAAGCGGUGGUUCGAAUUUUACUAUUGCGUUCAUUAGGCGACUGAUAUUGUAAAUUUCCUUAUUGUUAGGCUUUUGUUUUAUGUAUAUGAAAAAUAAGGAUGACGGGUCUUUCGAGACUCUAUGCCUUAUAUUAUUUACGUUGAUGACUUCGUGGCCGAGUUUUGAGAGUUCGUAUUUGAGUUCGUCUAUGUCUGCUGAGUGGUGGAUGUUUCGUAGGACCACCCGGAAAGGCCUUUCCUGUUUUAGUUGGUAGGUGUGGAAGUUGGCGUUCAGGGUCCUAAGUAUCUUGGUGAUUUUUCUGUAAGCUUCUGGGUUCCUCGGCAGUAUUUUUAUUUUAUUGUUAUUUAUCUUUAAGUUGUAGUCCUCCUUGGAGAUAUCUCUCUCUAAGGACUUGAUCAUUGUCUGUAUGUCGAUGACGUCAUCCACAAAUAUUGGUGGGGGAAGGGGGAUUCUCUGUGAUUGUUGGUUUGGCGGCGGGUCUGCGAUUUCCAUGGCGUCGUUAGUGGAUUGCAGUACGGCGAACCUGUUGUGGGUGUUUAUUUGUAUCGUUGAUUGUUCAUUCCGGGUGUCGAUCGUGUAUGGUUUUGAUGUUUCUAUUUUCCGUUUCUUUGUAAUAUUAGCGUCGUUGGUGCGGAGAGUUCUGCUACACUUCUGUCACGGGGGAGGUAGCGCGGGGUAGUUGCGAGUCUGCUCCGGAGAGCCUGGUCGCGAUUGCUGGGCCAUCAUCGAGCUAGUUAAUUCAAAAUGAAUAACUAGUCGUGAGGCUAUGAGGCUAGUAUUCGGGUUGGGGUUUGGUGCGUGGAAUUUUCUUCUCCCUAAAGGGUAGGAAACACUUGGCUGUUUUCACUUUCGACGGUUGGGCGACGUGUCUUUUUCGGACUACACUGGGCACUAGAGACACGUCUGCACGCUUCGGCACUCCAUAGCGAACAAGUAAAUAUAUGUCGGAGAUGAAAGAACACCGGAGCCUUUGGAAUUUUGGAUAAUCCCGCAACAUUGUAAUCUAGAGUCUACUAUAGCUGUAAUUAGAGAAUUGUAGUUAUUCAAUCCGAUUGUAAUUGUUCUCGAGUUGUGAUAAUGAGCUUGGGCUCGAGGCGACAGCCAGUCGCCGAACGUAGCCGCGGUCACGGGAUGAACGCUUUGUCUAACAAAGGUAUGGAGUAAUUCUAUAGCUCUCCUUAAAAGAAAUAUUCGUGGCGACACGCGACAGUAAACAUUCCAACGGUUUCUGUCCCGUGGCUCGCCACACGCAGACCCUAUUCUUCGAGUAAGAUGAUUGCCAGAUGUCGAUGCGUCUCCGCAGUACAUGUUCGGCCAGCUCGAGGGCCCGUUAUAAAUCUUAAGAUUUAGUCAACUAAAGUCCUCCAAACAGACAAACAGUCUUUGUCCCAACUACGGGAAAAUAGGGGAGACCUAUUUUUCAACGAGCGGCGUCUCCCACUAGCAACUUUCCCUCGAGGGCGGCUAGCAUCUUUUUCUAACCACCGGUAUGGAGAUUGACCAAUUAGCAGCAACGCAAAUUUCCUCACCUUCUGAACGAAGGAUAUCCUCGACGAAUCCGAUGAUCUCGUGUCCUUAGACACACCCCAAUAUAGUUUUCCUCUGUGGCAUCAUCGGGACGGGAAAGUCAUUCUCACUCGCGAUCUCAUCGAUGAAAGGAGUAACCCUUUACGAUCAGUGAAUAUUACGCAUCUGACUUAGAUUUUGUGAGUACGUUCAUCUAUCAUCCCGUCGGCCGCGGAUUCGUUAUUGAACCUA